GCUGGAGUAGCUCAGUUGGUAGAGCAGCGGUUUUGUAAACCGCUGGUCGGGGGUUCGAGUCCCUUCUCCAGCUCCA
rnacentral:tRNA from 1 species